rnacentral:ncRNA from 1 species
GGUCAGCGGCUGACGCCAGCCACCUUCCCGACCCGUCUUGAAACACGGACCAAGGAGUCUAACAUGUGCGCGAGCCGCGGGGCAGUACGAACCCCGUAAGGCGAAAUGAAGGUGAACGCCGGCGCGGUCCGGCGGAGGUUGGAUCCCGUCCCGUCGGGGCGGGCGCACUACCGGCCGAUCUUCUCCGCCCUGUCGGCGAGGUCGAGCGAGAGCGUGCAAGUCGGGACCCGAAAGAUGGUGAACUAUGCCUGAGGAGGUUGAAGCCAGAGGAAACUCUGGUGGAGGACCGUAGCGAUUCUGACGUGCAAAUCGAUCGUCAAAUUUGGGUAUAGGGGCGAAAGACUAAUCGAACCGUCUAGUAGCUGGUUCCCUUCGAAGUUUCCCUCAGGAUAGCUGGCGCUCUGUCGCAGUUUUAUCUGGUAAAGCGAAUGAUUAGAGGUCUUGGGGGCGAAACGCCCUCAACCUAUUCUCAAACUUUAAAUUGGUAAGAAGCCCGACUCGCUCGUUUGGAGCCGGGCAUGGAAUGCGAGUGCCAAGUGGGCCACUCUUGGUAAGCAGGACUGGCGAUGCGGGAUGAACCGAACGCCGGGUUAAGGCGCCCGACGCGACGCUCAUCAGAGCCCACAAAAGGUGUUGGUUGAUAUAGACAGCAGGACGGUGGCCAUGGAAGUCGGAAACCGCUAAGGAGUGUGUAACAACUCACCUGCCGAAUCAAUCAGCCCUGAAAAUGGAUGGCGCUGGAGCGUCGGGCCUAUACCCGGCCGUCGCGGCGGUACGAGCAUCGAGUUGGUGCGCUAGGCCGCGACGAGUAGGAGGACCGCGGCGGCGGGCGUAGAAGCCUAGG